AUCUACACACUCCCCUGUGUGUGGCCCAAGUAGAUCUGCAGGGAAGUAUGGUAUGUUCCUGUGGCAGGAAAGUUCACACCGCUGUUCACAGCUACUCGGGCAUUUUAGUCCUGAGAGGGGCAGGAGCCAUCCCUCUAGGGCACCCACAGGUGGGCCAUGCAUUGCCACCUGCCAUACCUGCAUCAGCACCCCAACUCCUAGUCCCAGCCUGAUUAUACAAUGCACCAUGUGCCAACACUCCAUACAAAUGCUGGAAACACAAACAGCCAACUGCCCCACAGCCACCUGGACCCACAUAUCCCUCCCCCCCCCCCCGCCUCCUUAGGGGCACCCACAGGUGGGCCAUGCAUUGCCACCUGCCAUACCUGCAUCGGCACCCCAACUCCUAGUCCCAGCCUGAUUAUACAAUGCACCAUGUGCCAACACUCCAUACAAAUGCUGGAAACACAAACAGCCAACUGCCCCACAGCCACGUGGACCCACAUAUCCCUCCCCCCCCCGCCCGCCUCCUUAGGGGCACCAUCAGAUGGGCCAUGCAUUGCCACCUGCCAUACCUGCAUUGGCACCCCAACUCCUAGUCCCAGCCUGAUUAUUCAAUGCACCAUGUGCCAACACUCCAUACAAAUGCUGGAAACACAAACAGCCAACUGCCCCACAGCCACCUGGACCCACAUAUCCCUCCCCCCCCCGCCUCCUUAGGGGCACCCACAGGUGGGCCAUGCAUUGCCACCUGCCAUACCUGCAUCAGCACCCCAACUCCUAGUCCCAGCCUGAUUAUACAAUGCACCAUGUGCCAACACUCCAUACAAAUGCUGGAAACACAAACAGCCUACUGCCCCACAGCCACCUGGACCCACAUAUCCCUCCCCCCCCGCCUCCUUAGGGGCACCCACAGGUGGGCCAUGCAUUGCCACCUGCCAUACCUGCAUCGGCACCCCAACUCCUAGUCCCAGCCUGAUUAUUCAAUGCACCAUGUGCCAACACUCCAUACACAUGCUGGAAACACAAACAGCCAACUGCCCCACA
rnacentral:lncRNA from 1 species